rnacentral:rRNA from 1 species
UGGGGAAUAUUGGACAAUGGGCGGAAGCCUGAUCCAGCAAUACCGCGUGUGUGAAGAAGGCCUUCGGGUUGUAAAGCACUUUUGUCAGGGAGAAUGGUAGUAGAGGUUAAUACCCUUUGCUAUUGAUGUUACCUGAAGAAUAAGCACCGGCUAACUCCGUGCCAGCAGCCGCGGUAAUACGGGGGGUGCAAGCGUUAAUCGGAAUUACUGGGCGUAAAGGGCGCGUAGGUGGUUACUUAAGUCAGAUGUGAAAGCCCCGGGCUCAACCUGGGAAUUGCAUUUGAUACUGGGUAACUAGAGUGUGGUAGAGAGUAGCGGAAUUUCUGGUGUAGCGGUGAAAUGCGUAGAUAUCAGAAGGAACACCAAUGGCGAAGGCAGCUACUUGGGCCAACACUGACGCUGAGGCGCGAAAGCAUGGGGAGCAAACAGGA